UCCCUGGAGGACUAGUGGUUAGGCCACAGCACUCUCACGGCUGUGGAUUGGGUUCGAUUCCCAGCCAGGGAA